rnacentral:rRNA from 1 species
GAUGAACGCUGGCGGCGUGCCUAAUACAUGCAAGUCGAGCGAACAGACGAGGAGCUUGCUCCUCCGACGUUAGCGGCGGACGGGUGAGUAACACGUGGAUAACCUACCUAUAAGACUGGGAUAACUUCGGGAAACCGGAGCUAAUACCGGAUAAUAUAUUGAACCGCAUGGUUCAAUAGUGAAAGACGGUUUUGCUGUCACUUAUAGAUGGAUCCGCGCCGCAUUAGCUAGUUGGUAAGGUAACGGCUUACCAAGGCGACGAUGCGUAGCCGACCUGAGAGGAGGAUCGGCCACACCGGAACGGAGACGCGGUCCAGACUCCGACGGGAGGCAGCAGUAGGGAAUCUUCCGCAAUGGGCGAAAGCCUGACGGAGCAACGGCGCGUGAGUGAUGAAGGUCUUCGGAUCGUAAAACUCUGUUAUUAGGGAAGAACAAAUGUGGAAGUAACUAUGCACGUCUUGGCGGUACCUAAUCAGAAAGCCACGGCUAACUACGUG